rnacentral:rRNA from 1 species
CCUACGGGUGGCUGCAGUAGGGAAUCUUCCACAAUGGGUGCAAACCUGAUGGAGCAAUGCCGCGUGAGUGAAGAAGGUCUUCGGAUCGUAAAGCUCUGUUGUUAGAGAAGAACACGUGCUAGGUAACUACUAGCGCCUUGACGGUAUCUAACCAGAAAGUCACGGCUAACUACGUGCCAGCAGCCGCGGUAAUACGUAGGUGACAAGCGUUGUCCGGAUUUAUUGGGCGUAAAGGGAGCGCAGGCGGUCUGUUUAGUCUAAUGUGAACGCUCACGGCUUAAACGUGGAACGGCAUUGGAAACUGACAGACUUGAAUGUAGACGAGGAAAAUGGAAUUCCAAGUGUAGCGGUGGAAUGCGUAGAGAUUUGGAGGAACACCAGUGGCGAAGGCGAUUUUCUGGUCUAACAUUGACGCUGAGGCUCGAAAGCGUGGGGAGCGAACAGGAUUAGAUACCCGGGUAGUC